rnacentral:lncRNA from 1 species
GCACAAAAAUACUAAAAAAUCAGGAUUUUGGGACCUGAACCCAUGUACACAAGAGUAUUACACCAAAGCCAAACUAAGGCAAAACAAACAUAAGCAUAUUAGAAUUCUAGCCUAUAACAGAAACUUUUAUAAGCUUCGGAUGUACUUCUACAAAUAUUUUAGAUUGCUUUUGAUCACACCCUUCUUGGAACGAAUUUGUAUAUGCUCACUACUAGUACUUUGAACCAUUGUAUCAUUUAGCUUAUUGGCAUGUUUCUUCUUAUUAGACUUCUUCUGCCUUUUCGACAUAAAAGGAGUAAAUAAACUCCCAUCCUCAAUAUCCCCUUCAAUCUCAGCAUUUAUGUCAGGCUCA